rnacentral:piRNA from 1 species
UGCAACUUAGGUGCCGGUCUCCUCCGUUC